rnacentral:lncRNA from 1 species
UCCAAUAAGAGGUUGGUGCGACGUUUGGGUCGGCAAGGCGGACACGAUAUUGCUGCAGGUCGGAGCCACUGUCCUUCUUUAACACACAGCCAUCCUCCGUUUGCCAUCCCCAGACAGAUGGCCCACCCGCCUUCCGAAACACUGAAAGAAUUAUUAUUAACAGUCAUAACCCCGAACCCUCUCAUUGCCCCCCCCCCCAAAAAAAAAGAACCGUAACGACGAAAAAGCCACAUCUGAGCCCGGCCCGGCGGCACCCGAGAAAGCAGCGCGACCUCCGCCCCGCACUCAGGACCACCCUGGAGGGAGCAGCCGCCCCGCCGCCGCCGAGACCCGAAGCCAUCUGGAGCCCCAGGCUGCCCACCUGCGUCUCGUGCCACUGCCUGUGGCCUGUGCCAGUGCCCUGAGCUGA